rnacentral:rRNA from 1 species
UACGAAGGGGGCUAGCGUUGUUCGGAAUUACUGGGCGUAAAGCGCGCGCAGGCGGUCUUCCAAGUCAGUGGUGAAAGCCCGGAGCUCAACUCCGGAACUGCCAUUGAAACUGUAAGACUUGAGGAUGAGAGAGGUGAGUGGAAUUCCCAGUGUAGAGGUGAAAUUCGUAGAUAUUGGGAAGAACACCGGUGGCGAAGGCGGCUCACUGGCUCAUUACUGACGCUCAGGCGCAACAGCGUGGGGAGUCAAACAGG